GACCUGUACUGGUCCUAAUAGCCCGUUGAAGAGGUCCACACGUGAUAGGCUGCUGCUAACCAGCAGAGGAAAGUGAUGGCAGCUGGUGUUGGGGCUGGGGGCCUCCAGGCCAGGCUGAGGAGAGUCGGCUCCCUGACACCAUGGCUGGAGAGAACCUGGGUAGGGUCUGCUGGGAAAAGCCCCCAAUUCAGCGAUGGCCGGGAGACCUCUUACUUGGGGUGAGAUGGGGAACUAGAGCAGGGCCCCAACCAUAGUGAAAGAAAGUCUGGGACUCCUUCAUGGUGAACCACUUCCAACCAGCCCCUCCUAAGCCUUUACUCAUCCCCAGAUGUUUACAGUUGUUUGCACAAGACUGGGGUGAGCUUCCUGGAAUCUACUAGAGCCAAGUUGCCUUCCCACCAUGUCCUUGGUCCUCCCCCAGUCACUCCACAGAGGACAAUCAGGGACGAGUGUGUCUGUGAAGCCGAAGCCAUGCAGGCUCUCUGACAAGCCCCCAAACUUCCAAGGCCCAGGAGGCUCCCUGGAAUGGGGUGGGGGCAUCCUCUGACAGCUCCUGCCCCACCCUCUUUGGAAAGCGGAACAGAACAGUGCUUCCAAAGGGAAAGAGAAACUGUGUUGGUGAGCAGCCGUAUCUGUGUGAAUCUGUUAGCAUCUGCUUGUGUGGGGGGCUAUUUCUCUGUGUAUGUCCUUGAGGGUAUGUGCGGUGGGCAGGUAGGAGGGGGUCAUUGUACUGGAGUUAGGCAGUGUCUCUGCCAGACAGUUGUGAUGCAAUCUCCUUCUCACACAAUCUAGGAAACUACCUAAAAAAAUCAGAGGCCAUAGUACCUAAGAGAGUGAAAGAGCAAAAUGGAGGAGAAACAGAGACUAGUCUGGCUAGUAGACCCUCUUACUGGAUUCUACCACCUGCUCACAGGUGAGGGCCCCUUCUUUCUGCUCACCGGGUUGGGGCAAAAACUAGGCGACUGGAAGAAGUCGAGGCCUCGCCGGAUGCCAGGGGGGACAGGAGGCUCACAACAGCGCUC